GUCGGGAGUUAUGAAAUGCAGGUUGGUUAAUACCCAACCUGUUUGACAAAGGCCCCAAAGGAAGCCACGGCUAACUCUGUGCCAGCAGCCGCGGUAAUACAGAGGUGGCAAGCGUUGUUCGGUAUUAUUGGGCGUAAAGAGCACGUAGGUGGUUUUGUAAGUCAGAUGUGAAAGCCUUCUGUUCAAAGGAAGAACGGCAUCUGAAACUGCAGAUCUUGAGUGUAGGAGGGGAGAGUGGAACUUCUGGU
rnacentral:rRNA from 1 species